ACGUCAUCUUUCCUCUACGUACGAUUUACUUGACAGAAAAGAUGAAGCCAUGAAAUUGGCAAGAGAAGCGUUUGAAAUUGCAAGUGUAUCAUUACCGUCAUCACAUUGUGAUUUGGCGAUGUAUAUGAACGGUGUCGGUGAUCGUUGUAAAUCUCGAGGAGACUACAACGAAGCCAUCGUGUGGUAUUAGAAAUCUCACCAAUUGCUGCAACAACUAAGUUCUUCGCCUACGCGAGACGACCUCCUUGCAACAACUCUUAUCAAUCUUGGUUAUUGCAUCGAACAAAGCGGAAACCUCGAAAAGAGUGCAAAUUUACUGGAGGAGGCAGUUACCCUCAGUCGGUCGUAUUGCUCACCCUCUCAUCCAAAAUUGGCA